CCUACGGGCGGCAGCAGUGGGGAAUAUUGCGCAAUGGGCGAAAGCCUGACGCAGCGAAGCCGCGUGAGGGAUGAAGGUCUUCGGAUCGUAAAACCCUGUCAGCAGGGAAGCACGGUCACUGUGCUAAUCAGCAGUGAAUUGACGGUACCUGCAAAGGAAGCACCGGCUAACUCCGUGCCAGCAGCCGCGGUAAUACGGAGGGUGCGUGGGUUAAUCGGAAUUGCUGGGCGUAAAGCGCUCGUGGGCGGUAUAUCAAGUCCAGGGUGAAAUCCCCGCGCGCAACGUGGGAACUGCCGUUGAAACUGGCAGACGGGAGUGUGUGAGAGGAGAGUGGAAGUCCAGGUGUAGGAGUGAAAUCCGUAGAUAUCUGGAGGAACAUCAGUGGCGAAGGCGACUAUCUGGCACAUAACUGACGCUGAGGAGCGAAAGCGUGGGUAGCGAACAGGAUUAGAUACCCGUGUAGUC
rnacentral:rRNA from 1 species